rnacentral:tRNA from 1 species
GCGGGAAUGCUGGAAUUGGCAGACAGGCAUGACUAAGGAUCAUGUGCGGCUACCGCGUGAGGGUUCAAGUCCCUCUUCCCGCA